GCGCCAGCCAAAUUUCCAGUUUUAUCAUUUUGCUUGGAUAUUCUUUCUUCUGUCUCACCAACUCUGUUGUUAAGAAAUUCCAUUGCAUUGUUUAUUUGAUCUAGUGUUCUUCAUUUCUAGCAUUUCAUUUAUUUUUUAAAUUCCAUUUCAAGCAUUCCUCAACCUCUUCGUCUUCACAUUCUAAUAUUGAAAUGUUGUACUCUUCCUUUGUGGGGCUCAUAGUGUCUUCCGUAUUAUUGUUUCUUGAACUUUUGCCUUUAUUUUUAGGCAUUUGUAGAUAUUUUUGUUUGGUGGCUUUUAUCUUUGAUCUGUGCCUCGAGGGCUUAUUGGGAUUCUACACUUUCAGUGAAUAACAGAUGGUGUGUGCUGGGUGUGGCUAUGGAACUCUGUUCAGCUCUCCAGGAUGGGGCAAGUAUCCAGGGAAACCCAAGUUGAGCAUGUUAGCCUUUCUCUGGUUAACAGGAUGGAGAGGAUUGAUUACCACUAUUAGUGUGACCAGCCCUUCUCUCAGCUGAGGAACAACUGUUAGUCCCCAGUAUGCUCAUUUCUCAUCCGCACCCAUUGUAAGAAAUGCACAUAUGAUCUAUGGAGUCUUUCCUAUGAACAUAUUUCCCUCUGCUAUCAGCUACUCUAGGCAACCCAGGAGCCCUGAGAGUGUGUAGAAACACUCUGUGGCUGCCUAGAAUCCAGUGACACCCUGCAUCCUCUUAAGCAGUCACAGUAUUUUCUCAAUCUCAGCUCCCAGGUUCUGAGGGUCAUGGAGUGCCAGUGGGGCCAUUCAGCCCCACUAGCCAGUUCUCUCUGCCAGGAAAUUAAGGUGUUCCCAGAGCCACUGUUUGUGUGAGAUCUAGUUCACUGGAUUGAAUCAGAUUUGAUGUCUGUAGGGAAUGCAGGGUUUUUGUUGUCUCCUGAUAGAUCUGUGGUUCACAGGUGCGCAAAGUACCACCACAGCUCUGCUCAUUUCACAAUCGUGCUGCAAACAUAGGAGAGUCCACCAUGUGAUACUUCCCUUCUGUGGGGAUGGCUCUCCUUCCUCCCCCCAUUGCCGGGUGGGUGUAACUGGCAUGGAGGGGUCUUUUUCCCUUGGUUUCUCCUGAAUCACUGUGGUUGCCCUAGCCAGUUAGAUAUAGAAGGUUAUCCCAGUAAUUUCUGGGAGUUCACACAGGAGCUGGGGCAGCCACUACCUGCUUGUGUCCAAAAGUGGCACAGGCCUCCCACUGCUGGCUGUAUGUCUGUUGUAGUGGGGUGGGGGAGGGGAUAGUACCACAUAGAGGUCUGCUUCCCCCCCACCUCUCUAGAGGAUCUGGGUGGGACUCUAAAACACGCCAUUCACUAAGCACUCCCUCCUGCUGUAUCAGCAGCAUCAUGCAUCCAUGGAGUCAGCUCUCACCUAGUUUGAAUGUAAGCUUGUGGGUCUUUUAUUGCAUGUCUGCUCUUUCAGCAUGGGUCCACACCGUUUCUACUACUUUUUCAGUAUGUCCCACUGCAGUUUCCUGCUGGUUUAUCCUGAGAGUGUAUUUUAUACCCUUAUUUUAAAUAUUAGUUUUGCCUAGCUUAAAUCAGACCACCCUGUUACUAUUCUUCCAUCUUGGAGCCCCAUAUUCAAAUAUCUUUUAAAUAUUUGUUUAUUUGAAAGAUAGAUAUAUAGAGUAAGAGAGAGAGAGAGAGAGAGAGAGAGAGAAUCUCCCAUUCAGUGGUUUACUCCCAAAAUGGCCAUAGUGUUCAGAGCUGAGCUAAGCCAAGGCCAGGAAUUAGGAGAUCCUUCUGGGUCUCCCACAUGGGUGCAAGGGCAGAAGGAUUUGGGUCAUCUUCCACUGCUUUUCCAGGCACAUUAGGAAGAGGCUAGAUUAGAAGUGGAAUAGCCAGGAAUCUAACUGGCUUCCAUAUGGAAUAAUGGCACUGCAGGCAGAUGCUUUUUAAGAGCUCUCACAUAGGAGAGAAGGUAAAGCUAUUCUUUGCUGAGCCAGCAGUAAGAAGUCCCAUUCAGCAGAAAGAAUUAUAAAGAGGCACUUUCUGGUCCAAUAAGAGCAGAAAUGCUGCCAGGUAUGUAGUGUUAUGCUGUGCAUAUAUCCUGCUAUACCCUACAUGUACACUUGCUCAUUUAAUCUUCACCAUGACCUAAUUAUGCAGCAGGUAGUAGAGCCUGUUUUCAGAUGUAAAAACAUCUCCCAAUUUUUAACGGAUUCACAUAGAGUCACACAACUGCUGAGAAUCGGUGCCUGGAUUCCCACCCAGAUGUUCUGCUGCAAACCCCAGAAGUACCAGAGCACAUUUGGACACUAGCUUCUAAUACAAGGAUACCAUCAAGCCACCCUGACAUAAACUGGCUUAUUCCUUUCCAACUGGCUGGUCCUCUUCCAGAGAGAUGGUGCUUGUAUCUCUGUGGCUGAUUUUGUAUAUUCUUCUUUGCAGCUGUGUGUGCAAAACAGCAUUCUCUGUUCUGAGAUGGCACUUGCAUGGGAUAAACACCAUGACACUAGAACCAUAAUGUAAAAGUUGGUUUUAUUUCCAAGAUGCCUGGUAUUUUUUAUGAAAUCCUGGGGGAAGGCAUUACAAAAGGCAGUGUCUGAUAAAAUUCCAUAGGCAUUAAACACUUGAUUUUGAUUCUCAAAUUUUGAAGACAGCUACCAGGUGCUUGCUGUGAACAUCAGCUUUUUAAAUCCAAAUAGGAGGGGGCUUUGGUAUCUUAAAAAAUAGCCUGAGAAUCAGAUAUUGAAAUCAAUAAUAUUGACUCUCAAUUAAAACUUGACAGCUUACAAGAGAUUUGGAUAACUUACCUGAUGACAUUUGCCUCUCCCAACAAACCAAAGAAGUAGAUAACAUGAAACCACUUCGCAUAUAAGGAACAAGAUUCAAGGAAGUGAAGUGACUUGUCCUGAGUUCUGUUGUUAAAAGGAAUAUAGCCAAAAUCUACGUGUUUUACUAAUAUCUUCCAAAUAUUCUCACCAUCACCUGAACCUAGUCAUUUUCAGUCCUUGCCUACUAUUCCAUGACUGGUCCCUUUGCUUUCUUUCUAGUCUACCUAUAGGGCUUUGCCCACUCAAAGUAAGAAUAGCAUGAAGUGAAUCAGAUGUUUCCAGGUGUAAAUAUCUUUGGGAAAUUCAUCUAGCUCUGAGAGUUAAAAUCCGUAUACAACUGUGCAGUCUUAGCUCAACAGAUUCCACCUGGGUGAAUCCCAAAUCCGACAGUGUUAUUUCAACAAUGUACUGAAGAAUUCAGCUAGAAAAUUGCAGGCCCAAACCUCCUUCCCCAAAGCUGAAACCCUGUGGGGCGGGGGUUGUAUAGUUUGGGUUCCUUAUCUUUACAUCUGCACCUGUGUGAGGAUAAGUGGCCAAAGCUGUGUAACCCUUGCAGGAGAUGUCCUUUGAACUCCCCACACGUGGUUUGAGUUUCUGGGUGUGGUGUGAGGUGAUUUGCUAAUGAGCUUCCCUCGUUGUUUGAUGUUUUUCUAAAUGGCACCAUAAUGUGUGGAAUGUCUCUGAAAAUCCUAUAAAAACCCUGACCCUUGACUUCUGGGGGCUGCUCUGUUCCUGCGUGUUCAGAGAGCUCCAGCAUGCUGGUUGAAUAAACCCCUUGCUGAUUGCAUGUGUGUGUCCUGGGGUGGUGGACAUUUCUCGACCCUAACAUUUGGAGGCCCCUGGGAGAUCUGGUCUGCUGCCUGUGGACGCCUCCAACGGAUAUCUCUCAGGGUAAGUAAAGGCGCCUAUUCUUGUUAUUCUAUGUUGUGUUGUUAUUCCGGUAGUCUGUGAGCGCUCUAGGUCUCUUCAACUUUCUGGUUUUGAGAGUUAUUGCACUGGUGUAGUAGCUGUUGGGGCAGGUGCGUGAGCCCUCCCCGACUGUGGCCAACAGAUGUGCCCAGGGGGCCACAGGUAAUGGCCCUGGGGGAUGCCCCAGGAGGAAAAAGGAAGGCUGGGGACGCCCAGGGGCUUCCGUCGGGUAGACAUUAAGUCUGCAUCUAUAUUGCCAGCGCAGUCUGUAUGGCUGGCCUGGUGUGGCCUGCGUUUUAUUUUAGGGUUCUUACAGACACUCUAACUGGUCAUUGUGUGUUGAUCUCUGUCAUUGUCUCCCUGUUCCUGUACCUUGUGUUAUCUGAAACCAUGGGUCAGACUGUGUCUACUCUGUAGGGGACAAGGCUCCCCACCUCUGUAGGAAGGAAGUGGGUCACUCCUGCAGUGCAGCGUGAGGCCAAUGGUCCAUUUUUGUCUUUUUUUGUUUUGUUCAGUGUCCUUUUUUGUGAGUCUCUUUGGUGUUUGUUUUUAGCUGUUUGUAUUUACCUUUCUGAAACUGGUAUAAUGGGACAGACUUAGACAACUCUUAGAAAGGGAGACUAACCACCCUUUGUUCUCAGAUUGGUCUACCUUUGAAGUAGGGUGGGCGCCUGAGGGCACCCUUGACAUCCUGGUCUGGCAAGAUCUGGUAGAAACUCCCUUUCCUGGUUAAAGCCUUUUCACUCCCUCAGGAACAGCCUUCGAAGGAGAUUUUAGCCAUCCAGGACUGUCCCGGCAAAGCAGAUAAAAAGAAAACUAAGACUUCAGCCUCGGCGCCGCUCUGUUCUGUUUUGCAGGGUGACUGAAGAUUUGAUUUUCCCUCCUCCCUACCAGCUGCCAGGCCUGGCCCUGGCUGUGGGGCUGGCAGCGGGGGCACAGGAGAGGGUACAAGAAGCAGCUCCCCAGGGGCCAGCAGAUCCCUGCACUCUCCCUUCACAUGCAGCAGGGAAACCCCUGCUGUGCCAUUAGCAAGUGCCUGGAACCCCCUGUGUGUUCAAAGCUGGCCCUUUGAGCCUCAACCUGCAGGACUCAGCUGGGGCCCAGGAAUGGCAGGUGGAGGGUGGGAAGGUGCGCCUCCCAACUCAUUCCUUGGGAUCCUAACUCCCAGAGCCAUACCCAUUCCCCCCAGACUGACUCCCCAUGGCCGACCAAAUGGGGCAAGUGGACAGAUCUCCUGGACUUCAGGACCCGGUAAGUCUCCCUGGGGCGCUCUGUACUCAGGCCCGCCUUUGUGCGGAAGCGGGGGCUUCUGUUGCUCCUCUACCAGGUACCUGUUGGUGUCUGUAAUGGAAGAGAGUACGUACAUGGUGUAAAUGUGUUUGUGGCUCCACAGCCCUGCAGCUACGGAGUCUGAAUGGGCCCUAACCUGCAGCUCCGUGUUCACCAGGCGGGCGAAGCGAUCUCAGUCCAGAUCAGUGCCUGUUCCAGAGGUUUUUACCUUUUGUUUUGUGCAACCAAGGGGGGCAUUUUAGACUUCUAACUCUGUUUUGUGGUAUGUUAACUCCACCCCUUUGCUGGGAGUGGAGGGGUGAAAGGUCAGCUGCCUGUAGGCAUGGGGUAGUAAUAACUUAGUUUUUCUAAAUCAAGUUAAUCUCUGGUGAGCUUUUCACCCAGGACACCCCAGCCCCCUGGCCCACAGUCACUCUUGGGACCCGUCUUGCAGCUGCCUAACAAGUCUGUUUCAGAGGCAGUACCAGGUAUCUGUUGACUGGGUGCAAUCUGGGAGCCGGCAGCAGGUGCUGUUAGUCACUGCUGGGAUGGAUGGUGGCUUCUUCCCAACAGACACUUUUUGUCCCAGAUCACCUGGCCUACUCUCUGCUUCAUCAGCUCCAUGGAAACACUCACACGGGGAAAACAGCUUAGAAGUUCUGGUCAACUGGUAUUAUGACAGUGCUCCCCAUGCUUGACAGAAAUGUAACUCAGAGAUGUUAAACUUGUGCCUGCAGCAAUGCCAAACGGGGGCCCUCACAGCCACCAGGAAUAUGAAGAACAGGACGAAGCCUGUUUGGAGGCCUAGAGAUAGACUUUGCUAAGUUACUACCCAGCAGAGGCUAAGGAUACCUGUUACUGUUUGCAGGACUCAGGCUGAGUGGAGUCCUUCCACACCAGAACAGAAAAAGCCAGAAAAGGCACCAGGGUUUUGCUGAUCAAGAUCUCACCCAGCAAUCCUCCUAUAGGUUCUGAUGGAAUUUUUCCAGCCACAAGUAUCAUAUUCAGUGCUUUGGGAUGACUCUGUAACCAGAUGAAGCCAAUAACAUACUAAAGUGUGAUCAUUCUAAUAGCACUGGGGAUUGAUCAAAUGCUCAAGAGCUUGGAUUCUAACAGAGUGACAUGGAUUCCUGCCUCUUUGUAGCUCUAUGAUCUUGGACAACUCCUUAUCUGUAAAUUACAGAUAAUAAUAACAUGGCCCCCAAUAUUGUUUAUCCUUGCAAAAAAAUAAAAAUAGCUCCUGACCUCUUGAAUAACAGUGGUACAUGUAAUGGUGGUCAUUACCCAGUCCAUCUCCUAGCAAUCUUGCUCUUUAAGUUAUCAAUCUUUUCAUUGUCCUCCAUGCAAAUAUGUACUUCCAGAACAUACUUCCAGAAGUUCUCUUGACUUUUGGAAUUUGGUAGUUAGACUGAGGUGUCAGUUUUUUGCUUUUGCUUUUUCUUCUACAGGCAAGAUGUUUCAAAACUGGUGCCGGGACACACAGCCGUGUGUGCUGUGCCAGUAAGGAUGGACAGGGAAUGAUAAUUCCUUGGAGAUAAAAAUUGCCUGCUGCUUGGUUGAUGUGGCUGCCACAGCAAUGCAAACUGUUUGUCUGUAGGCCCUUGCCAAGUAUGCAGAUGUGUGGAGAUUAAAGAGGAAAUAGGGUUUUGCAGGAACUAUUUCUAGAACUAGUUCCAGUACUAGACUUUGAUAAGAACUUACUGAAGAUUUUUUUAAUCAUUGUGACAGUAAGAUUAGGUAAUUGUCACAACUAUGACCAGUUAGUAUUAUCCUAUCUUAGAGGAAAUUGAGGCACAGAGACACACUUGUUCAAAUCACAAAUAAUGGUGUGAUAUUUGCACCCAAUAUGACUCCAGAGCUGACCCACUAGUCUACAGUGUUGACCACACUUUAUGAUGGCUUCAAAAAGUUCAUGGAGAGUUCACAUUAUGAGAGAAACUUCACGAAUUUCAAAAAUUUUUGCACAAACAUAAACGUAUCUUUAAUCCAAUUUUUCCACAUUUUAAAGCCCUUGUAUAUUUCUGUGGUGCUCUACAGCUCAUUAGUCACUUUGACCUGCUCUCAUUUAAGUAGACCAAGGCAGAGAAGGCUGCUGCCUGAGAUGCAGUCAACUCCAGAGGAAGGGAUACCAGCAGUACUAGGAGUGUGGCCACAGGAGAAAAUGGCUGAUAAGGACCUCAUCCAUCCCACAUGAUCUCUCAUCUUCCCACAGGCAGAAGUGAAAGAUCUGUUUUAUGGUGCUAAGAGGUCUGAGAUAUGGAAGAUGGGAACCCGUAUUUGAAACCAGUUCCUAUGUUUUGAAUCUUGCUAUACUUUCUUGAUUUUACAAUCUAAGGUCCAAUUUUCUUAAGAUCCAAACUAUUUUCUGCUGUUUGAAGAAUCUGUUUCUUCCCAUGAUGAGAGGUACUGUCCAAGGUAAAGCUAACCUUGUUCACCAUGAACUUCUUAAGCUUCCCUUUUGGGCUUUUUGGUUCUUGGUCCUCUCAUUUCUGUGCCCAUGGCAAUUAUUAGAGAAAAGAUCUUGCAUGGAAGUUGAUGUGUGAGAAAUGCCCAUGGUGUAUUUUCAUAAAAUACUUAGCAUUAGUGUGGCCAUGACAGUAGGAAUCGGUAGAAUGUAGGAUAGAGUGUCACCAAAAGAGUAGGUUAAGUGUUGAGUUUGUUUUGCAAACCAUGUGCCACUCAUUUCCUUUGUAACACACAAUGAUCUGAUGUCUCAGUUCCAAGAACUGUGUUAGCCUUCCUGACACCACUGUGUAACUCCCUUUACCCUCUUCUAGAUCUGCCCAACAAUGUCCAGCCUGAUACACCUACCUAAUUCUGGCCUAGGUGCCAUGUCAGGUUAAGACUGUACCUCCCAAGUUUCUAAACCGGUGAGAAACUGGGGGGCAUGAUCUCUGUAUGACAGGAUAAAGAGCUGAAUCUCUGAGGAAAAUUCCUGCUUCCAUCUGCUGGUCACCACUCUUGAGACUGGGUAACAAAAUGGUGGGGCUGGUGCUGUGGCACAAAGCGUUAAACCCCUGGACUGUAGCACUGGCAUCCCGUUUGGGCACUGGUUUGAGUCCUAGCUGCUCUACUUCUGAUCCAGUCUCUGGCUAAUGUGCUGGGGAAAAAAGAAGAGGAUGGCCCCAAGUACUUGUGCCCCUGGCACCCAAAAGGGAGACUCAGAAGAAGCUUCUGGCUCCUGGCUUUGAAUCAGCCCAGCUCUGGCCAUUGCAGCCAUUUCAGCAAGUGAACCCGUGGAUGGAAGCUGAGUUUGAAGUCAUUAUGUUAAGUGAAAUACAGUCAGGAAAGGACAUUUUGUUACUCUUCUAUGAUAACCCUAAAAUAAUUGCUUUCAUAAAGAUAUAAACUGGUAUGGGGUGGAGAGAUGUCAUCAGAGAUGGGUGAGGAGAGGAAAGGGGGAAUUAUUGUCCAUUGAGUAGAGUUUUAUUUGGGGAAGAGGAAAACAUUCUGGAGAUGGAUAGAGGUGAUGGUUUUGUAACAAGGUGAAUAUAUUUAAUGCCAUUGUUAGUACACAUUUGAAAGAUGUUAAAUGGGAAAGUGUGGCAUUUUCCUAUAUUUUUGAAAAAUAGAAAAAAUCAAAUUUGAAUCUGUUGAAAAGGAAAUGUAGGUUUAAUAUAGUUGUCAUCUGUGUGUGAAUCUAGCUGCAAGAACAGCAUGAUUCAGGGCUCAAAAAGCAACAUAUGGGAUCUAUGUCUUGACAUCAUCUCUCCUAAGGCCCCUUGAAGUAAGAGACAGCCUCCAGCACCUUCAGACUUAGACUACCACCAUACUCAGUUAAGCAGAGAAGAGAAAACUUUCUGUUAACUCCUACCAGAAACUUAAAACUAAUUCUCCUUUGUAGAUUUAAACUGACUGCUUUCACACCCCUCCUCAUUUCUUUUUUUAAUGAUAAAAGUGAAAAUUAGGAAAGGUGAUUAUUCUAAAUUUAUAGGAAAUAAAUAACAUCAGACAUACAUGAAGAAAGCUACAAUUACAAUGUAACCUGAAAAAGGCAUAAUCACAAAGAUUUGCACACAUUUCUAUCAGUGAUUGAUAAAACAGAUGUAGUAAUAAGACUAUAAAACAUCUGAGUAAGAGAACAGACAACUUUGAUCUAAUCAUACAUAGAAUUAUGCAUCCAAGAAUUACAGAAUGCAUAUCCCAGGCAUACAGUGAACUAUUAUAAAUUUUUAUGAAAUUUGACAACAUCACCAAGUAGGUAUCCAGACUUUGAUCAUAAUACUAGUAUGUCCUUGGUAGACGACUACAGAAAUCAGCCCCUGUAGCCAGGGUGUGGAAUGUAGUGACAGGUUCAAGUCAAGACUUGUGCCCUGACACCGUCCUGGGGGAGUCAUCCACAUUUUAUUACAGAGAAGUACUAGGAGAAGGAGUGAGAGUGUCCCCAAGGCCAAAUGGAGGGGCAGUUUCCCAAGGAGAAAGAGCAGAAGCAUAUCCAUCCGUUCACUCUCUCAUUUGUUCAACAUUUCCUAGUGUGUUUUGUGCUUCAGUCAUUGAGCUCAAUGUGAGGAUAAAAGAUUUCCAUAGCCAGAGCUUGUGCUGCCCCAGGAGAAAACAAUCCUGUCCAAGGGGGCAGAUACACAUAUUAAGUUACUUCAAAAACUUCAGAGGGCCAGACAUUUGACGUAGUGGUUAAGAAUCUGCUUAGGAUACCUAAAUACCACAUAGGGUGCCUGAGUUCAAAAGUCCUUAUUUCUCUCCUGAUUCUAGUUUCCUUAUAUUACACAACCUGGGAAGCAGCAAGUGAUGUGAUAGUCCAAGUGACUGGGAGACCUGGAUUGAGCUGCUGGCUCCUGUUUUACCUUGGUCCAGCCCUGGCGUUGUGGACAUUUGAUGAAUGAACCAACAUAUAAAAGAUCAGUAAAUAUCCCCCAACCUUUCAAAUACAAUAAGUUAGUUUAAAAGUCAUGGAAAAAUGGAACUAAAGGAUCAGUGCCUUUUGGUGUAAAAAAGUUAAUCCUAGUCAUACAAAGAGGUCUUCAAAAAGUUUAGGGAAAAUAGAUAUUAGGAAAAAUUUUUAUUUUUUCACACACAUUCAAACACCCUAGUGUAUAUAACACAAAAUGGUAAAUGCUGUAAAGUUAUGUAGAGUGAGUAUUUUCCACAGCAUCUAAGGGAUGCUUUCUUAUGUAUCUUCAUGAUUUCUAUGACAGCAGAGCCUGCUUGUAGAUAUGAGUAAAUUAGCUUUAAAAUGUCUCUCCCCCACCCCCAGUUGCUCCUCUUCCAGUCCAGCUCUCUACUGUGGCCUGGGAGGGCAGUGGAAGAUGGUCCAGGUCCUUGGGCCCUGCACCCACGUGGGAGACCAGGAGGAAGCACCUGGCUCCUGGCUUCAGAUCAGUGCAGUGCACCAGCCACAACCCACUGGCCGUAGUGGCCACUUGGGGGGUGAACCAAUGGAAAAAGGAAGACCUUUCUCUCUCUCUGUCUCUCUCUCUACCUCUACCUGUCAAAAAAAAAGUGUCCCUAGUACUUCAUGAAAAAUCAUGGAAGAGCUCAAUGAAGUCUUAUGUCUCCAAGCAUUAGGUAAAUAAUUGCAUUAGUUUUUUGACUCCUUUAAUUUGCCAGAUUAGAGAAAAUAGGAAAAAUGCCUUGAUGUUUGUUCAUUUUCCAGGGGUGCCAUCACAAUGUACUGCACCAGGGUGGCUUUAAAGAACAGGUGCACUGUCCUAUGGUUCUGGAGUAUGCAAGUCUUCCAUAUGGCUAUCAGGGCUUGUUCCUUUUGAGAGCUGUGGGGGACAAUCUGUUCCAGGCCUCUCUCCUAGUUCCAUGUGAGUUUAUUGCAGUCUGUGGUGUCCUCGAUUUGUAGACACAUCACCUUGAUCCCUGUCUUCAUGUUCAGCUGGUGUUCUUCCUCUGCCCAUGUCUAUCUCCAAAUACCCCUUUUUCAUAAGGACAUCAUCUGAAUUGGAUUGUAUCCCACCAUGCUCUAGUAUGACCUCAUCCUAACUAAUAACAUCAUAACCCUCCUUCAAAAUAAGGUCACAGUUUGAAAUAUUGUGGGUCAUGAUUUCAACACAGGAAUUUGAGGGUGAGGGGACAAAAUUAAGCCUUGGCAAUUACUGCCCCCUCUCUGCUCUAUCUUCUGUGCUGCACACAAGUUUGAAAAAAUGAAGUUGGAAAAACAUCAUCUCUGUAUGGUACUAUGCAUGAAACAGAACAGACCAUGUCUAUGACUGCCCUGAAUAAGCUGACUUGAAAAUGUGUAGAUAUCCCAAAUAAGUACAAACUCUAAUGAUCAUGAAUGUUGUUUUAAAAAAACAUGGACAGGCAUUUAUCCUAGUGUUUAAGAUGCCUGUUAAGACACCUGUGUCCCAUAUUAGAGUUCAUUCCCAGUUCAAACUCCUGACUCCAGCUUUCUCGUAAUGAAGGCCCUCAGAGUUUGUAGCUGAUGGUUCAAGUACUAAGGUCCUUGCCACUCACAUUGGAGAACCAGGUGGAAUUCCUGGCUCCUGACUUUGGCCUUGUCCAUUUUUUGCUGCUGCAGGCAUUUUGAAAGUGAACCAGUGGGUGGGAGUGCUCUCUCUUCUCCCCUUUCUCUCCCAAUUCCCUUACUGACUUCCCCUCAAAUAAAUCAACAAAAGUAAUUUUUAAAAUUAAUAAAGUCAAACCAUCUUAGGGCUAAAUAGGCCAAGAGAUGGUCAGAGUUGGAGGUGUUGCCUCAACACCAGAAAAAGAUUCAACACCCUUUUCAUUAAGGCCUUGCUCUGCCAUGCAAAGCUCUAUACAUGGGUAUAGUAUACUCAUACUUCUGUAAGGAACAUUUACUUUAAAAGCAUAUAUAACAGGUUAUACUUGAAUAUUUUGCAUAUGUAUAGGAAAAAUAUCACAAAUUCUAUUUAAUUCUUCCCACAACAUAAUGGGUUGUUGUGCAUCAUCUUUGGGGUAACUGCAUGUGCUUUCUCAAAAGAUUUUAUUUAUAUAUUUGAGUGGUAGAGUCACAGCCAGAGAAGGAGAAACAGAAAGGUCUUCCAUCCACUGAUUCGCUCCCCAAAUGGCUGCAACAGCCAGAGCAGGACCUAUCUGAAGCCAGGGGCCAGGAGCUUCUUCUGGUCUCCCAUUUGUGUGCCAAGGCCCAGGCACUUUGGCCAAACUCUGCUGCUUUUCCAGGCCAUAGCAGAGAGAUGGAUCAGAAGAAGAGCAGCCAGGCCAUGAACCAGUGCCCAUAUGGGAUACCAGUGACACAGGAAAAGGCUGAGUCUAACUCACCAUAGUGCCAGCUCCCCCAUGUAUGUGCAUUUGAUACCAAUUUCUAAACAAUCUUUCUCUAACUACAUAGACAUGAUUUCCUACCUCUAUUCCUUUAUCUUAAUAUUCAUCCUCAGCAUGAAUGACCUUCCCACCUCUAUUGCCCUCAUCCAAGAUUCAGCCAUGUCCCCUGUCACAGAUGAACUUAUUCAGCCUAGUCCAACUCCUCUGAGCAACAGUAUUCCUCAUCAUACAAGCAACUAAAGUGCCAGGCGAUCCAUAAAAGUUAGAAUUUUUGGUGUUUCAAAGUGUUUGAAAGCUUGGCUCUUGUUUACUUUUUUAUUCUUUGUGUUUCUUGAGAUUUAUUGCUGGUUCCAUAACAGUUCCAAAAUAGCUGUCUUUGAUUUAAUCCACUAAAGAAACUAUUCCUUUAAAAUUAUGUUUUAAAAUUCAAAAUAUUGAAAUAUUUUAGAUAAAAAGUAGAAAAAAUUUAAC